rnacentral:lncRNA from 1 species
CUGGUCACGGGCAAGUCCAUGUGCAGCUUCUUCAGCGAGAUCUCACACUCCAUCACACUGGAGGAGCUGCCAUGCAGGGACCACAUCCUCAAGCUCUGCCAGGACAUCUUCCUGGCGUGCGAGACCCAUGAGCUGGAGCUGGAGGAGGAGCUGUCUGCCAAGCUCAUCUUCCUCUAUCGCUCACUGGAGACCAUGAUCAAGUGGACUCGUGAGGAGUAG